GACGAACGCUGGCGGCGUGCUUAACACAUGCAAGUCGAACGAUGAACCGGAGCUUGCUCCGGGGAUUAGUGGCGAACGGGUGAGUAACACGUGGGCAACCUGCCCCAGACAUCGGGAUAAUCAUUCGAAAGGAUGGCUAAUACCGGAUAUGACCACUUCGGGCAUCCGAUGGUGGUGGAAAGGAUUCUGGUCUGGGAUGGGCCCGCGGCCUAUCAGCUAGUUGGUGGGGUAAUGGCCUACCAAGGCGACGACGGGUAGCCGGCCUGAGAGGGCGACCGGCCACACUGGGACUGAGACACGGCCCAGACUCCUACGGGAGGCAGCAGUGGGGAAUAUUGCGCAAUGGGCGAAAGCCUGACGCAGCGACGCCGCGUGAGGGACGAAGGUCUUCGGAUUGUAAACCUCUUUCAGCAGGGACGAAGCGAAAGUGACUGUACCUGCAGAAGAAGCACCGGCUAACUACGUGCCAGCAGCCGCGGUAAU
rnacentral:rRNA from 1 species